GAUGAACGCUGGCGGCGUGCCUAAUACAUGCAAGUCGAGCGAACAGAUGAGGAGCUUGCUCCUCUGACGUAAGCGGCGGACGGGUGAGUAACACGUGGAUAACCUACCUAUAAGACUGGGAUAACUUCGGGAAACCGGAGCUAAUACCGGAUAAUAUAUUUAACCGCAUGGUUCAAUAUUGAAAGACGGUUUUGCUGUCACUUAUAGAUGGAUCCGCGCCGCAUUAGCUAGUUGUUAAGGUAACGGCUUACCAAGGCAACGAUGCGUAGCCGACCUGAGAGGGAGAUCGGCCAAACUGGAACAGAGACACGGUCCAGACUCCUACGGGAGGCAGCAGUAGGGAAUCUUCCGCAAUGGGCGAAAGCCUGACGGAGCAACGCCGCGUGAGUGAUGAAGGUCUUCGGAUCGUAAAACUCUGUUAUUAGGGAAGAACAAAUGUGUAAGUAAAUAUGAACGUCUUGACGGUACCUAAUCAGAAAGCCACGGCUAACUACGUG
rnacentral:rRNA from 1 species